UACGAGGGGGGCAAGUGUUGUUCGGAAUCACUGGGCGUAAAGGGAGCGUAGGCGGGCUCUUAAGUUGGAUGUUUAAAACCGGGGCCCAACCCCGGCGUGGCAUCCAAAACUGGGAGUCUGAAUGGAACAGAGGCUAGUGGAAUUGGAGGUGUAGCGGUGGAAUGCGUAGAGAUCUCCAAGAACACCCGUUGCGAAGGCGGCUAGCUGGGUUCACAUUGACGCUAGGCGCAAC
rnacentral:rRNA from 1 species